UCUCCGUUGGUGAACUAGCGGAGGGAUCAUUACAGGAUCGAAAGACUCCUAUAACCCCUGUGAACUUACUACAAAUACGUUGCUUCGGCGGGUGCCCCGGGUCUCCCGGGGCGUUCAGCCCGCCGGCAGCCUUCAAAUUCUGUUUCUUUGCGUUGGCAUCUCGAGUAUACAAAAAUAAGUUAAAACUUUCAACAACGGAUCUCUUGGUUCUG
rnacentral:misc_RNA from 1 species